UACGAAGGGGGCGAGCGUUGUUCGGAUUUACUGGGCGUAAAGGGCGCGUAGGCGGCGGGCCAAGUCGAGUGUGAAAGCCCCGGGCUCAACCUGGGAACGGCGCUCGAGACUGGCUUGCUGGAGUUCGGGAGAGGAGCGUGGAAUUCCCAGUGUAGAGGUGAAAUUCGUAGAUAUGCGGAGGAACACCAAUGGCGAAGGCAAUCCCCUGGACCUGUACUGACGCUCAUGCACGAAAGCGUGGGGAGCAAACAGG
rnacentral:rRNA from 1 species